rnacentral:lncRNA from 1 species
GCAGUGUGCUCUGCUUUGGCCACAGAAGUAGCUCUGGCAGAGCAGCAAGGGAUACCUUUGUCCCACUGGGGGAGUGGCAAAAGCAGCUGUGUCUGGUAGGAGAGGAAAUGUUCAGAGGCUCAGUGUGGGGAGUCUCAGUGAUGAAGCAGACAGACGGUCAAACCAGCAGAAAUUUUGUUACAUACCCACUCUUGUUUUGAACCAUAACUGUUAUCACAUUUUUUUCUCUCCACUAGAUAGUAUUUGUUUUUGAGGAUAGACACUGAAUUCCCACUGCUCAACAUAUCUGAAAUUUAACAUGCAAUGAAUGAAUGAAUGAUAAAAUGAAUGACUCUUUUCAUCCUAUGGAUCUAGUCUCUUUUCACUCUUAGGAAUGCUGUAUGUGUAGACCUUUGAAAACAGAUUGGGCAUGGGUAUUUGGUCUCAGGCGAAAGCCUUUGGGAGGCCUACUUUGAUUGUCUAUUGCAAACAUUAAAAAUUGUCUUACAGAAGUAUGUGUUCAUGGGUUCCUGAUAUAAAAUAAUAAUUUUAUUAUUGGAAAUAGUAAUAAUAAUCUUUUAUUAUCUGUUUCAGAGAUAUGUAGCCUCACUUGUCUGGCAGCUUAUCCAAGGAGACUUCCUUUUCUCUGGUUCCCUGUGGAGUGCAUAUUAAGCCAUUGGAGAGAGAAGAGUGGACAAAUGUGGCAGGACAGAGGCAUGAGAGUGAAGCAGAGGAAACCCAUUCUAGUUCUAUACGUUCAUCAACCUUACGCAUUAUUCAUAAAAAUGAUCGGACAACUGAGGAUCACCAGAGAUUGGAUAAACACUAACGAUGUGAAAGAGAAGAACCAAGUGAACUAACAGAAUGAUUGGAAACAGAGAAAGUUCAGAGAACAGAAGAAAACAUUAAAUCCAUCCUAAUUAGCAUCCUCUGGCUUCCCAGCUCAGUGGUAAAGAAUCUGCCUGCAGGGCAGGAGAUGAGGGUUUGAUCCUUGGACUGGGAAGAUCACCUGGAGAGGGAAAUGGCAGCCUACUCCAGUAUUCUUGCCUUGGAAAUCCCAUGGACAGAGGAGCCUGGUGGGCUACAGUCCAUGGGGUUGCAAAAAAGUCAGACAUGACUUAGCAACUAAAUAACAACAAUUUGUAUCCUCAUGAAAUUCUCAUAACUAUUGAUUCAUAAAAAUAGAAUACAUUGUAUGAAAAAGGAGCAAUCAGAAAAUGAAGAAUUCUUGAAAAUUAAAAUUUCAUUACUGAAAUU